rnacentral:rRNA from 1 species
UGCGUAGGGCGCAAGCGUUAUCCGGAAUUACUGGGCGUAAAGCGCGCGUAGGCGGCUUUGUAAGUUAGAGGUGAAAGCCCGGGGCUCAACCCCGGAAUUGCCUUUAAGACUGCAUCGCUUGAAUCCGGGAGAGGUGAGUGGAAUUCCGAGUGUAGAGGUGAAAUUCGUAGAUAUUCGGAAGAACACCAGUGGCGAAGGCGGCUCACUGGACCGGCAUUGACGCUGAGGUGCGAAAGCGUGGGGAGCAAACAGG